rnacentral:rRNA from 1 species
AACGAACGCUGGCGGCAUGCCUAACACAUGCAAGUCGAACGAGACCGUCCGGCUUAGUGGGGCACCGGUUCGUAACCGGGGGGAAAAUGCGCUUAUGUUCGGCCUCAAACCCCGGAAUAGGCGCGAAUAACGGGGUAUGUCACCGGACCAAAGAUUCAUCGACUUUGGGUGGGGCCGCGUUGGUUUAGUUAGGUGGUAGGGUAAGAGCCUACCGAUGCGACGAUGCAUAGCUGGGUUGAGAGGAGGAUCAGCCUCACUGGGACUGAGACACGGCCCAGACUCGUACGGGAGGGAGCAGUGGGGAAUAUUGGACGAUGGGCGAAAGUCUGAUCAAGCAAUGCCGCGUGAGUGAGGAAGGCCUUAGGGUUGUAAAGCUCUUUGACCCGGGAUGAUAAUGACAGUACCGGGAGAAUAAGCUCCGGCUAACUCCGUG